AUACGUAGGGGGCGAGCGUUGUCCGGAAUGAUUGGGCGUAAAGGGCGCGUAGGCGGCCCGGUAAGUCUGGAGUGAAAGUCCUGCUUUUAAGGUGGGAAUUGCUUUGGAUACUGCCGGGCUUGAGUGCAGGAGAGGUAAGUGGAAUUCCCAGUGUAGCGGUGAAAUGCGUAGAGAUUGGGAGGAACACCAGUGGCGAAGGCGACUUACUGGACUGUAACUGACGCUGAGGCGCGAAAGUGUGGGGAGCAAACAGGAUUAGAUACCCUGGUAGUCCACACUGUAAACGAUGAAUGCUAGGUGUAGGGGGUAUCGACCCCUUCUGUGCCGCAGUUAACACAAUAAGCAUUCCGCCUGGGGAGUACGGCCGCAAGGUUGAAACUCAAAGGAAUUGACGGGG
rnacentral:rRNA from 1 species